GGCUUCUAAAGGUCUUGCAAAUGGUACGAGAGAAGCAUUACCCACCUCUCAGGUGCACGCACACAAAAGGCAACAGACAACUGGGAGAAUGGGAACAUCUUGGACAAAUUGGGGAUGCAACCUAAGCCAUCAGCACAAUAGCUGUACAAGGGAGGUAAGUCAGAGAAGCUACAGAAAUAGGACAUUCUGCCUUCAUCUGAAUCUGGGUUCUGGAGAUUUCCAGAGACAGAGGUUUUCCAUCUGCAAAUAUUGUUUAACCACUCAUCUACCAUGACCUCUAACAAUUUAUUUAACUAGCACAUUAAAUAAUGAUGGAGAACAGCAACCUCACUUUUAUUUACUUUAUUGGCAGGAUGUUUAAUGAUGACUGCAAAGUAUGAAAUGCCCCCUGAGAAUCUAGGCAUACAUUUGGGUUUUCUGCAGAUUAUGUUGCUGGUUUGCUAAACAUUAGUUUACUUUGCCAGACAGUGGUCC